rnacentral:rRNA from 2 species
UCUGGUGACAAUGGCAAAGAGGUCACACCUGUUCCCAUGCCGAACACAGAAGUUAAGCUCUUUAGCGCCGAUGGUAGUCGGA